UUUAACUCUUUCGUAACGCACAAGGAUACUUGAAAAAAAAUUAAUAAAUAAAAAAUAGAAAUGUUUCAGAAAAUCACCAUGCAUUUUCAUAUAAUGCUUUUACUUGGAAACUCCUAGGGCUAGCUACAUAUGGUUUCUAUAUAUAGCUUCUUCAUUAAUAGCUUCUUCAUUACUCAUUCUACAAAAAUAUUUGUAUUAAUUUUCUCUCAUAAAAAAGCUUGUUUAUCAUUGAUAGAUAUAUCUUUAAUUCUAAACUUGAAUUUUAUAAGCUAUUUUGGUGAAUUGCACCAUGAGUUCUAACAAUCCAAACAUUCAGCAAGUUCUUUGUCCAACCACAAAGCCAUCAUCAGCAUCAUCAUCCUCUACCUCUACUGGAGUUAAACUUCCAACCAUGGGGGAGGUCUUUGGAAUUAGGAAAAAGUAGACAAAUUAAUAUUUUCACCAAUGGGUUUUAAUAGAUCGAUGUUGUUAUUCAUUACACCAUAUACCUAUGUUUUCUUUUAUUCUUUGAUUUCAAUUUGUUGUUUUUAUAUGUUUAUUCUUCUAUAGUUGUAGUAUUUUUUUUGUUUAAACGUACCUUCUUUUUUUUAUUGUAUUAAUUUGAAUCUAUUUUUGUACUUGUGCUCUAUAUCAUAAAAUGUUGUAACAUCAUUGAUUGUAUUUACUACUACUUUUAAUUUUCCAUCUAUCUAUAUAUUCCGA
rnacentral:lncRNA from 1 species